UACAGCCAUAUCACGUUGAAACACCAGUUCUCGUACGACUGCCGAAGUCAAGCAAUGUCGAGCCUGGCCAGUACCUAGAUGGGUGACCGCUUGGAAAUGCAAAGUGUUGUAAU